AUUGAACGCUGGCGGCAUGCCUUACACAUGCAAGUCGAACGGUAACGGGCCUUCGGGUGCCGACGAGUGGCGAACGGGUGAGUAAUACAUCGGAACGUGCCCGAUCGUGGGGGAUAACGAGGCGAAAGCUUUGCUAAUACCGCAUACGAUCUACGGAUGAAAGCAGGGGACCGCAAGGCCUUGCGCGGACGGAGCGGCCGAUGGCAGAUUAGGUAGUUGGUGGGAUAAAAGCUUGCCAAGCCGACGAUCUGUAGCUGGUCUGAGAGGAUGAUCAGCCACACUGGGACUGAGGCACGGCCCAGACUCCUACGGGAGGCAGCAGUGGGGAAUUUUGGACAAUGGGCGCAAGCCUGAUCCAGCCAUGCCGCGUGCAGGAUGAAGGCCUUCGGGUUGUAAACUGCUUUUGUACGGAACGAAAAGCCUUCUUUUAAUACAGGAGGGUCAUGACGGUACCGUAAGAAUAAGCACCGGCUAACUACGUG
rnacentral:rRNA from 1 species